rnacentral:rRNA from 1 species
CCUACUUUGUUCCUCCUUUUUUCCUCUUUCCCCCUUUUGUCCCCCCUGCUGCCGCGACGCCGCGUGAGUGAAGAAGUAUUUCGGUAUGUAAAGCUCUAUCAGCAGGGAAGAAAUAGCGACCUUUGGGUCGCCAGACGGUACCUGAUUAAGAAGCCCCGGCUAACUACGUGCCAGCAGCCGCGGUAAUACGUAGGGGGCAAGCGUUAUCCGGAUUUACUGGGUGUAAAGGGAGCGUAGACGGCAGCGCAAGUCUGAAGUGAAAUGCCGGGGCUUAACCCCGGAACUGCUUGGGAAACUGUGCAGCUAGAGUGCAGGAGAGGUAAGUGGAAUUCCUAGUGUAGCGGUGAAAUGCGUAGAUAUUAGGAGGAACACCAGUGGCGAAGGCGGCUUACUGGACUGUAACUGACGUUGAGGCUCGAAAGCGUGGGGAGCAAACAGGAUUAGAUACCCGGGUAGUC